rnacentral:rRNA from 1 species
CAGCCGCCACGGUAAUGCGUAGGGGGCAAGCGUUAUCCGGAUUUACUGGGUGUAAAGGGAGCGCAGGCGGUCUGGCAAGUUGAGAGUGGAAGCAGGGGGCUCAACCCCCUGACUGCUCCCAAAACUGUUGGACUGGAGUAUGGGAGAGGCAGGCGGAAUUCCUAGUGUAGCGGUGAAAUGCUCAGAUAUUAGGAAGAACACCGGUGGCGAAGGCGGCCUGCUGGACCAAAACUGACGCUGAGGCUCGAGAGCGUGGGGAGCGAACAGGAUUAGAUACCCCCGUAGUCCCUGUCUCUUAUAA